rnacentral:rRNA from 1 species
UUACGGCCAUAUCACGUUGAAACAGCGGUUCCCGUAAGAUCACCAAAGUUAAGCUACGUCGAACCUGGUCAGUACCUAGAUGGGUGACUGCUUGGGAAUAUCAGGUGAUGAAA